AAGACCUUGCGCUUUUGGAGCGGCCGAUGCCUGAUUAGCUAGUUGGUGGGGUAACGGCCUACCAAAGCUUCGAUCAGUAGCUGGUCUGAGAGGACGGCCAGCCACACUGGGACUGAGACACGGCCCAGACUCCUACGGGAGGCAGCAGUGGGGAAUUUUGGACAAUGGGCGCAAGCCUGAUCCAGCCAUGCCGCGUGAGUGAAGAAGGCCUUCGGGUUGUAAAGCUCUUUCAGCCGGGAAGAAAAGGUUGCGAUUAAUAAUCGCAAUUUAUGACGGUACCGGAAGAAGAAGCACCGGCUAACUACGUGCCAGCAGCCGCGGUAAUACGUAGGGUGCGAGCGUUAAUCGGAAUUACUGGGCGUAAAGGGUGCGCAGGCGGUUUUGUAAGUCAGAUGUGAAAUCCCCGGGCUUAACCUGGGAACU
rnacentral:rRNA from 1 species